rnacentral:rRNA from 1 species
UAGGGAAUCUUCCGCAAUGGACGCAAGUCUGACGGAGCAACGCCGCGUGAGUGAAGAAGGAUUUCGGUUCGUAAAACUCUGUUGUUAGAGAAGAACAGCGCAUAGAGUAACUGUUAUGCGUGUGACGGUAUCUAACCAGAAAGCCACGGCUAACUACGUGCCAGCAGCCGCGGUAAUACGUAGGUGGCAAGCGUUGUCCGGAUUUAUUGGGCGUAAAGCGAGCGCAGGCGGUCAAUUAAGUCUGAUGUGAAAGCCCCCGGCUCAACCGGGGAGGGUCAUUGGAAACUGGUUGACUUGAGUGCAGAAGAGGAGAGUGGAAUUCCAUGUGUAGCGGUGAAAUGCGUAGAUAUAUGGAGGAACACCAGUGGCGAAGGCGACUCUCUGGUCUGUAACUGACGGUGAGGUUCGAAAGCGUGGGUAGCAAACAGG